rnacentral:rRNA from 1 species
GGAUUAGAAACCCGGGUAGUCCACGCCGUAAACGAUGCUAACUCGUUUUUGGGGCGCAAGCUUCAGAGACCAAGCGAAAGUGAUAAGUUAGCCACAUGGGGAGUACGUUCGCAAGAAUGAAACUCAAAGGAAUUGACGGGGGCCCGCACAAGCGGUGGAUUAUGUGGUUUAAUUCGAUGAUACGCGAGGAACCUUACCAAGACUUAAAUGGGAAAUGACAGGUUUAGAAAUAGAUCCUUCUUCGGACAUUUUUCAAGGUGCUGCAUGGUUGUCGUCAGCUCGUGCCGUGAGGUGUUAGGUUAAGUCCUGCAACGAGCGCAACCCCUGUCACUAGUUGCUAACAUUCAGUUGAGGACUCUAGUGAG